UCUUAAGGAGCAUCAGGUGGCCUAGUCCAAGCGCACAGUGAUUUUCAGGACUGAAAUUUGCAAUUAUACUAUAGGUUUGGCCAAUGCCUGGUCCAUGGGAGAGGGGUCCCAUGACUAAGAAGAGAAGGUGCCACUUGCUUACUUUUCCUCUGGGGGAACAGUAUUUGCGUUGAUUCCCCUCCAGGAAUUCUCAGGGAGACAGGCAAAGAUGUAAAUAACUCCUAAGCUCGCAUGCUAGGUGCUAUAGAACGUCCAAGAAGAAUACAAGUGUGAUCCUGACUGAGCUAUCAUGUCUUCGCCCAGAGGACUAACUUGGGGAAAGCAUCGCCCUGAGCUAACAUCUGUUGCCAAUCUUCUUUUUUAUUUCCUCCCCAAAGCCCCAGUGCCUGGUUGUAUGUUCUGGUUCCCUAUGACGAGCUCCAUUUGGCGAGCAAGGGAAUGAAGUCUGGAAAAAUUAGGUCAAAUCCUCAAGAUCCCAUAGCCUGACCAUGAACUCAGGUGCUCUGAUUCCAAGCACACGGCUAUUUCCAUUACUUUCAUAUGCCAUAUGCCAAGCUCUUUUCCUCACUGACCUGAAGACAUUUGAGGGUCCAGACUGUGUUUUAUGCAGCUCCUGUUUUCCCCAUGGAUCCCAGAUAUGCAGCCUGUUGCUUUAUUAAUUGAUUUGCCAAGAAGUAGCAAGAAUGUCCUCAUGAGGCAUCCUGUCCCUAAGGACCUGAAGAAAAAAACCCUAGCAAUUCUUUUGGGGCUGGAAAGAACUGCUGAGAAGUCAUGACUGUGGUUGUUUUCAGUGCCAUGACUGAGUCAUGUUCUAAAAAAAAAAGGCUUCCAGUCACUAUUUUUGAAGGUAUGAUUCCCAACUAUCUAUAUCAACUAACAGAAGCAAACAGCAAUGUGGAUUAAGUGACCUGGUCAUGGGAUCAGGGAAUGGACCAGUGGAAGAUAGAGAGACAACUUCCAUCCACCUGCCCCAAAAGUCUCUGCGUGAGUCCUAGUCACCUACCUAUGACAUAAGUGUCUUUUUAUUUAUUUAGUCAUAUCCUACCUCAUUUCCCAAAGACUCAAAGUGGUUUCCCAUAUGAAUAGAGAUAAUAAGUAAAGGUAAAAUAUAAACAAGGAAAGACAACCAAGGCUAGGAAAAAAUUUAAAUGUAAAAAGUCAAGCCCAAGGAAAAAUACUCUAUUAGCCAGAGAGGAAAAACUACCUAAAGCCCAAAAUAGAUCUUGCGUGCCAGGGUUUAGUUGAUGAGGCAUUUUUAAGGGCUCAGUAACCCCCGUGGGGUUUUACUCCAUGCUGGAUAUCAACCCAGAAGAAUGAUUACAGCAGUGAAACUCUAGAAUUUAUCCCUAGGAUGUGGUCAACACACUGUAUUCAUGCAUCCGUUGUUAGAUGGGAGAUGUGUUUUCCAAGUAUAAUGGUGCCAAAAAGACCACGUCAAUGCUUUGUGCAGAACAGAACUUUUAUUUCAACAAUAAGUCUGAAUCAUGUCCAUUCAUUCGUUUAGCAAAUAUUAUGACAAUAAUCUGCCAGGAACUGUGCAAUGCACUGGAAAUUCGAUGGCAAAUAAGACGCGAACUCUUUCCUAGAGGAGCAGACAGGCUUAUAAAUAUAUAAUCAGCACAACCGUAAUAAGUGUGAUUCUGGAGGUAUGUAUAAGGGGUGUGAAGGCGGAGAUAGGAUGACCACUUCACUGAGGUUAGCAGGUGUUUCUUAUCUUCUUACCAACACACUUCCAGUGACAAGGACUCUGCGGUUCUGGGUUGAGGGAGCCAUCCUUAAUCAAGUGGUCCUCAGGGAAUCAUAGAACAAAUAACUUACCUUUGUGACUUGCUAAACAUCUCCACGUUUGUGAUUUGAUUGUGUGGAGAAAUAAGGCAGGUGAAAGGCUUGCUUAACAACCGGGGCCGUUGGGAACAGAAUGGAGGAAUGUAAAGAAAUGCUAUAGCAAAAAUUUUGCACUAUUCUGGUUAGUGAGGCUAAUUUCUUGCCAUAGCAUAGACAUUUUGUUCUUGGCAAUCCUCCAUAAGAUAAAGGCAGCUUCAGAGUCAAAAUCAACUUUCUAGCAGACUCUGCAUCCAUUCAAACCUAUGAUCACAUUUAAAACAAAAAUCUAGCAUCUAGAGAGAGAUGAAAAAUGGCAGGUUUGUCUGCCAGUGAUCAGCACCAAAUGCUGGAAGACAGUAACAAAAGGGACCAAGUAUUUUAACCCUUCAGAGCUCUGGUGCUGACUCAAAAAUUUGGAGCAACCUCUUCUGGCUGACCUGGCUGAGAAAUACUUUAAUGGCCGUCAAAAAUUUGGUAUGAAUGCUGAAGAAUUUACAAAACUGUAUGGGGAAAAGCAAGCUGCAUGUGGAAUUUACUGUGCUUGAUUCCAGUGUGUGUGACUGAAGAACCCCAAAGCAGAGCUCCAUGGAGAAUCAACACACGCCUGGCGUUUGAUCAAGGCAGGUGCUGUCUACUGUAGAAACAAAGCAGAUAAGGUAACUUCUAAAGGAAAUAACCUUCUCCUUUCUUCCUUACAUUGACUCAUAGAUUGGAAGUUGAGAGAAAAAAAGAAACUUAAAAGCUAAGAAAUACUAAACACUGGAUAUCUCAGGGGAUCAGAUAAAAAUGGAGAGCUUUCAUGAGAAGUGUGCCACCAGGAACUAGAAAGAUAGAACCCACAACCAGUGUGUCUCUGAGACAUGACAUUGGGUUGAGAGCAGAGGCCAGACCU
ensembl:lncRNA